rnacentral:rRNA from 1 species
UACGUAGGGUGCGAGCGUUGUCCGGAAUUAUUGGGCGUAAAGAGCUCGUAGGCGGUGUGUCACGUCGGCCGUGAAAACCUGGGGCUCAACUCUGGGCGUGCGGUCGAUACGGGGCAUCACUAGAGUUCGGCAGGGGAGACUGGAAUUCCUGGUGUAGCGGUGAAAUGCGCAGAUAUCAGGAGGAACACCGGUGGCGAAGGCGGGUCUCUGGGCCGAUACUGACGCUGAGGAGCGAAAGCCAUGGGUAGCGAACAGG